UACGUAGGGGGCGAGCGUUGUCCGGAAUCAUUGGGCGUAAAGCGCGUGUAGGCGGCUCGAUAAGUCCGGUGUGAAACCUUGGGGCUCAACCCCAAGCCUGCACUGGAUACUGUCGAGCUCGAGUCCGGGAGGGGAGAGCGGAAUUCCUAGUGUAGCGGUGAAAUGCGCAGAUAUUAGGAAGAACACCGGUGGCGAAAGCGGCUCUCUGGAACGGUACUGACGCUGAGACGCGAAAGCGUGGGGAGCGAACAGG
rnacentral:rRNA from 1 species